UACGGAGGGAGCAAGCGUUACUCGGAAUUAUUGGGCGUAAAGGGCGCGUAGGCGAUUUGAAAAGUCUUGUGUGAAAGCCCCGAGCUUAACUCGGGAAGUGCACAAGAAACUGUUGAAUUUGAGUUCCGGAGAGGAAGGCAGAAUUCCCGGUGUAGCGGUGAAAUGCGUAGAUAUCGGGAGGAAUACCAGUGGCGAAGGCGGCCUUCUGGACGAUGACUGACGCUGAGACGCGAAAGCGUGGGGAGCAAACAGG
rnacentral:rRNA from 1 species